rnacentral:rRNA from 1 species
AGCGAACGCUGGCGGCGGGCCUAACACAUGCAAGUCGAACGGAUCCUUCGGGAUUAGUGGCGGACGGGUGAGGAACACGUGGGAACGUGCCUUUUGGUUCGGAACAACUCAGGGAAACUUGAGCUAAUACCGGAUAAGCCCUUCGGGGGAAGGAUUUAUCGCCAUUAGAGCGGCCCGCGUCUGAUUAGCUAGUUGGUGGGGUAAAGACCUACCAAGGCUACGAUCAGUAGCUGGUCUGAGGGGAUGANCAGCCACAUUGGGACUGAGACACGGCCCAAACUCCUACGGGAGGCAGCAGUGGGGAAUCUUGCGCAAUGGGCGAAAGCCUGACGCAGCCAUGCCGCGUGAAUGAUGAA